rnacentral:lncRNA from 1 species
GAUAAAGCCUCUUCUCACCCACAACCUGGUAUUCAUCUUUUUUUUUGUUGCGGCCUUGAGCCGGGUCGUAACAGAAUUGGGGGCUCGUCCGGGAUACAUUCGUCUUCGCUGGAGGGUCCGGAGGACCGCUUCAGCAUUCUGUUUCAGCUGGAGGGUCCGAGGGGCCUGUCCAGCCUUCAUUCAUCUUCGCUGGAGGGUCCGAGGGGCCUGUCCAGCCAACAUUCGUCUUCGCUGGAGGGUCCGAGGGGCCUGUCCAGCAUUCGUCCGUCUUCGCUGGAGGGUCCGAGGGACCGCUUCAGCCUUCCGUUUCCGCUGGAGGGGUCCAAGGGGCCUGUCCAGCCAACAUUCGUCUUCGCUGGAGGGUCCGAGGGGCCUGUCCAGCAUUCGUCCGUCUUCGCUGGAGGGUCCGAGGGACCGCUUCAGCCUUCCGUUUCCGCUGGAGGGGUCCAAGGGGCCUGUCCAGCCAACAUUCGUCUUCGCUGGAGGGUCCGAGGGGCCUGUUCAGCCUUCGUCUGUCUUCGCUGGAGGGUCCGAGGGACCGCUUCAGCAUUCCGUCUUCGCUGGAGGGUCCGAGGGACCGCUUCAGCCUUCAGUCUCCGCUGGAGGGUCCAAAGGGCCUGUCCAGCCAUCAUUCGUCUUCGCUGGAGGGUCCGGAGGACCGCUUCAGCAUUCUGUUUCAGCUGGAGGGUCCGAGGGGCCUGUCCAGCCUUCAUUCGUCUCCGCUGGAGGGGUCCAAGGGGCCUGUCCAGCCAACAUUCGUCUUCGCUGGAGGGUCCGAGGGACCGCUUCAGCAUUCGUCCGUCUUCGCUGGAGGGUCCGAGGGACCGCUUCAGCCUUCCGUUUCCGCUGGAGGGGUCCAAGGGGCCUGUCCAGCCAACAUUCGUCUUCGCUGGAGGGUCCGAGGGGCCUGUCCAGCCUUCGUCCGUCUCCGCUGGAGGGUCCGACGGACCGCUUCAGCAUUCGAACGUCUUCGCUGGAGGGUCCGAGGGACCGCUUCAGCAUUCCGUCUUCGCUGGAGGGACCGCUUCAGCCUUCAGUCUCCGCUGGAGGGUCCACGGGGCCUGUCCAGCCAUCAUUCGUCUUCGCUGGAGGGUCCGGAGGACCGCUUCAGCAUUCUGUUUCAGCUGGAGGGUCCGAGGGGCCUGUCCAGCCUUCAUUCGUCUCCGCUGGAGGGGUCCAAGGGGCCUGUCCAGCCAACAUUCGUCUUCGCUGGAGGGUCCGAGGGGCCUGUCCAGCCUUCGUCCGUCUUCGCUGGAGGGUCCGAGGGGCCUGUCCAGCCAUCAUUCGUCUUCGCUGGAGGGUCCGGAGGACCGCUUCAGCAUUCAGUCUGCCUGCAGAAUAGCGGCCAGUGCCUUGUGCGCUGGUCCUCCAGGACUACAGCAUUCAUGGCUCUCUAGGUCAUGAAUCAAACAUUUUCAUUUGGGGUUAAAUGUUUGAUUUUUGGGUGGGGGGAAAUGUUACGAUUUAAUGUUGUCAGUGUUUUGUUUUAUGUUAUGUUUAAGGAUUUGUUCUCGUUUCCUGUUUUAUUGUGAAGGUCUGCGUCUCAUGUGAGUGUGUUCAGUUUUACCUCUGUCUCGUCUUGUUGAUUAUUCCCAGCUGUGUUCCCCACCUGUGUGCAAUCUCCCUGUGUUUCCCUGUGUGUAUUUAAGUCGCGUCCUCUGUCUUGGUAGCAGUCUUAAGCGUUUAGUUGAACAACUGAACAAUACUAAUCCCAUAUAUGAUAUUCUCCCAUCUCGCAUAGUUAAGGACUGCUUCAGUGUUAUUGGACCCAGUAUAUUGUCGCUAUUGAAUUCUUCCUUACUCUCCGGCUGCAUCCCGUCAGCCUUUAAACAUGCUAUAGUUCAACCUGUUCUUAAAAAAAGGAACCUUGAUUAUAAUGAUUAUGCGAACUACAGGCCGAUCUCCAACCUUCCGUUCCUGGCCAAAAUCCUUGAGAAGAUAGUUUUGCUGCAACUCCAGGCAUACCUGGAUGAGAAUAACAUUAAUGAUAAAUUCCAAUCGGCCUUCAAACCACAUCAUAGCACUGAGACGGCGCUGCUUCGAG